UCAGGAUGAACGCUAGCGGCAGGCUUAACACAUGCAAGUCAGGGGCAUCGGGAGUAGCAAUACUGCCGGCGACCGGCGCAAGGGUGCGUAACGCGUGAGCAACAUGCCCGUAUCAGGGGGGAUAAUCCAUGGAAACGUGGUCUAAUACCCCAUAGUAAUUAUGUAAGGCAUCUUAUAUAAUUUAAAGCUUUGGUGGAUACGGAUUGGCUCGCGUGACAUUAGCUGGAUGGUAAGGUAACGGCUUACCAUGGCUACGAUGUCUAGGGGUUCUGAGAGGAAGGUCCCCCACACUGGAACUGAGACACGGUCCAGACUCCUACGGGAGGCAGCAGUGAGGAAUAUUGGACAAUGGAUGGAAAUCUGAUCCAGCCAUGCCGCGUGCAGGAAGAACCGGCCCUAUGGGUUGUAAACUGCUUUUGUAUGGGAGCAAUAAGGGCUACGUGUAGUCCGAUGAGAGUACCAUACGAAUAAGCACCGGCUAACUCCGUGCCAGCAGCUGC
rnacentral:rRNA from 1 species